GAUAUAGUGCCUGACAAAAGGAUAGCACUGAUACAGCUAAUCAUGUAAUAUUUUAAUUACCUAUAUCA
rnacentral:tRNA from 1 species